rnacentral:rRNA from 1 species
UACGUAGGGUGCGAGCGUUAAUCGGAAUUACUGGGCGUAAAGCGUGCGCAGGCGGUGGCUCAAGCCAGGCGUGAAAUCCCCGGGCUUAACCUGGGAAUGGCGUUUGGGACUGGGUCGCUAGAGUGUGGCAGAGGGAGGUGGAAUUCCACGUGUAGCAGUGAAAUGCGUAGAGAUCGGGAGGAACAUCCGUGGCGAAGGCGGCCAUCUGGAUCAACACUGACGCUGAGGCACGAAAGCGUGGGGAGCAAACAGG